AAUAUUUUUUUAAACCGAAACAAACCCAGCCAAGGAACCACCUUAAUCCGACCCAUUUGUACCAAAUGCAAAUCUGAAAGUCGGCGAGAAAAAGAAAGUUAGCGUGUAGAGCAGAGUCCAAAACCCUAGAGCUCUGUAUCAGGGAGGUAUUGAUAUUGAAUAAUGGCGGCAGCUGCAUCUUCGGGAUCCAACUCUCUUAAAGAAUAUCUGAAAAGAUAUGGAAUCAAUGAUGAAGAGGAUAAAAAGAAAAAGAAGAAGAAGAAGAAGGUCCAAAGUAAGCCAGAUGCAACGGGUCUUUUAGUUGUGGAUGAAGAUCCAGUUUGGCAGAAAACAGUCAAUCUCGAAGAGGAAAACAGCGGCGAUUCAGCUGAUGAAGAGAAGCCACAAGUUAAUGAAGACAUUGAGGUUAAGCGGAUGAGGAGGCUUGAACAGUUGAGGGCCAGACGUGCAUAUAAUGCCAUAUCAGAGGAUGGCAGUGGUUGGGUUUCGCUCUCUCCUAAAUGCUUGAAUUCUAACGACCCAAAUUCUGAUAUGUCUCCACCUCGUAAACAGAGGAUUCGAAAUGACACACCUUCACCAGAACCUGAGCAGGAUUCUGGCAGAGAUAACAUUGAUUUGUCUCCUCCACGACCAAACCUGAACAAUGAUAUGUCUCCACCUCGGAAACGGAGGGUUCGAAAUGAUAGCCCUUCACCAGAACCUGGAGUGAAGCUUUCAACUGAUUUGCUGAAUUCUGAUAUGUCUCCACCUCGUCGACGCCAAGUAUUGGCAGACAAUGAUAGGAGUAACCCUGACAUUUCUCCUCCACGACGGGGUCGUCGUGGUUCUCCAUAUCAAGAUGUCUUCCAUGCUCCCCUGGGGUCAGACCUUUCACCCCCAAGGAAAAGCAGGAAGGAUCUUGGGAGACCUGGGUCACCUGACCUUUCACCACCACGUAGACGCUCAACUGAAACCAAUGCUUCACAUGCAUCUUUGCUUCCUGACCUUUCUCCACCAAGGAAAAGUCGAAAGGAAGCUACUGUGGAAGAACAGCGAAAAACAGGUCUGAUUUCUGGCAAAGAUAUGAGGGAAGAGAUUGCCAGAACUAAGAAGAAUGAUUUGUUGAGGUUUAAUGAGAUGGAUCCUUCUAUAAGUGGUCGGGGUGCGGAGCCUACAUAUCGGGAUAAGAAAGGAGAACGUAUAUCGAAGGAGGAAUUCUUAAAACUGCGAAAGAAAGUAAAAGUAGAAGAGAAGCCCAAGGAGAUUAAGUUGGAGUGGGGCAAGGGCUUGGCUCAAAAGCGGGAAGCCGAAGCUAGGCUGCAGGAAUUGGAAUCUGAGAAGGACAAACCAUUUGCGCGGACCAGAGAUGAUCCUGAACUCGACAAAAUGCUGAGGGAGAGAAUAAGAGAUGGCGAUCCCAUGGCACAUUUGGUGAAGAAAAAGCAUCCUGAACUAGUUCUCCCAAACCUAGGGGACAAUGAGAAAAUGAAGGAAUCAGGGUUUGUUGUUCCUCAGGACAUUCCUGAUCACAGCUGGUUAAAACGAAGAUUAGAUGCUGCUCCAAAUAGAUAUGGUAUAAGACCAGGAAGACAUUGGGAUGGAGUUGACCGUAGUAAUGGAUUUGAGAAGGGAUUGUUCAAAAGGAUGAAUGAGAAACGAGCUACAGAAACAGAAGCAUAUCUUUGGUCUGUCUCCGAUAUGUGACUUGGAAGUGUAUGGAUUAAGAUGAUGGCAAUAUGCUUUUUAUGCAUUUCUGGAAAAGACACCAAGGAUUCUCAGCACCAACUGAAAAUAUGUUCCAUAAAUUAAUUGGUGGCAGUGGUGUGCAGUUGAGCUUCCUUUACUGCUCAAUAGCAGCAGCUGUUUCCUUUGCAAUUGAAAUUCUGUACUCAUGAUGCUUAGUUGUAGAAUUCCAACUCUGCAGAGAUGCUGUAACAAUCCAGGAUGCUAUAUGGAUUACUGUAGAUCCAUAAGGAUUAUAAAAUUUUCAGUCGGCAGGCAGUUAAAGACUGACAAGUCCUCUCACUAAUGAAGUCCAGAUAUGUGAAUUGCUUGAUGUAGAUACCAGCUGAAACUAUUAUGGGUGUGAAGUAAAGAAUACUUUCCAUUUUCCUUUGAUCGCAGUGGUCAGACACUGUGUAUCUACUCCAGUGAUGAUCUCCUGCUUUUUUUUUUUUUUUUUUUUUUUGAAAUGGAACUUAUAGCAUAAACCAAAUAGAAAGGAGUACAUCAGAAGGGAGCCAGCAAGCAGCUGGGACCAUUACAGCAGAUCAGAUUGGAUUAAAGAUGAUACAACUGGGGGUGUAACCCCUUUCCAAAUAAAGGUUUUUUCAUUUCCACGGGCAAAGUGAGCAAGCUCGUGUGCAACUUUAUUAUGGUCUCUGUUCAAGUGCUUGAAAGUGCAGUUCUCAAAUGUGUCUCGAGCUUGCUGGAUCUCUUGGAUAAUGUGGCCCAGGUCGCUUCUGCUUUAUGCAAAAUGAAUAUGGGUAUGGCAUGUGGGGGCUAAUGGUGUGUACCUUAGCAAAUGCAAGAUCAGUGGCUAAGAUCUCUGUCAAGCUUAAGCGAGAAGGCCAGACACAAAUUUCCUUGAAUAUUGUUCUCAAACAUGAAGCUUACAAGCAAUCCUUUUUGUAUGCUUGUUAAAAACCCCGACCAAAUAACUGAAAAUUAUAACAAGACAAAACAUGAUUGAUUUCA